rnacentral:rRNA from 1 species
UUGACCUCAACCCAAGUAGGAUUACCCGCCGAACUUAA